UCCGUAGGGUGCAAGCGUUAAUCGGAAUUACUGGGCGUAAAGCGUGCGCAGGCGGUUUUGUAAGUCUGACGUGAAAUCCCCGGGCUCAACCUGGGAAUUGCGUUGGAGACUGCAAGGCUGGAGUCUGGCAGAGGGGGGUAGAAUUCCACGUGUAGCAGUGAAAUGCGUAGAGAUGUGGAGGAACACCGAUGGCGAAGGCAGCCCCCUGGGUCAAGACUGACGCUCAUGCACGAAAGCGUGGGGAGCAAACAGG
rnacentral:rRNA from 1 species